rnacentral:rRNA from 1 species
AAAGCUCGUAGUUGGAUUUCUGUUGAGAACGGCCGGUCCGCACUAUGUGCGUGUAUCUGGUUCGGUCUUGGCAUCCUCUUGGGGAACGGCGCUGCGCUUGAUUGCGUGGGUCGGUAUUCAAGACUUUUACUUUGAGGAAAUUAGAGUGUUCACGGCAGGCCUUCGCCUUGAAUAUAUUAGCAUGGAAUAAUAAUAUAGGAUCUUGGUUCUAUUUUGUUGGUUUCUAGAACUAAGGUAAUGAUUAAUAGGGAUAAUUGGGGGCAUUUGUAUUAACGCGUCAGAGGUGGAAUUCUUGGAUUGCGUUACGACAAACUACUGCGAAAGCAUUUGCCAAGGAUGUUUUCAUUGAUCAAGAACGAAAGUGUGGGGAUCGAAGACGAUUAGAUACCGUCGUAGUCUACACCAUAAACUAUGCCAACUAGAGAUUGGAGGUCGUUCUUUUUAUGACUCCUUCAGCACCUUAUGAGAAAUCAAAGUCUUUGGGUUCCGGGGGGAGUAUGGUCGCAAGGCUGAAACUUAAAGGAAUUGACGGAAGGGCACCACCAGGAGUGGAGCCUGCGGCUUAAUUUGACUCAACACGGGAAAACU